rnacentral:rRNA from 1 species
CCUACGGGGUGCAGCAGUGAGGAAUAUUGGUCAAUGGACGAGAGUCUGAACCAGCCAAGUAGCGUGAAGGAUGAAUGCCCUAUGGGUUGUAAACUUCUUUUAUAUGGGAAUAAAAUGUUCCACGUGUGGGAUUUUGUAUGUACCCUAUGAAUAAGGAUCGGCUAACUCCGUGCCAGCAGCCGCGGUAAUACGGAGGAUCCGAGCGUUAUCCGGAUUUAUUGGGUUUAAAGGGAGCGUAGGUGGUUUGGUAAGUCAGUUGUGAAAGUUUGCGGCUCAACCGUAAAAUUGCAGUUGAAACUGGCAGUCUUGAGUACAGUAGAGGUGGGCGGAAUUCGUGGUGUAGCGGUGAAAUGCUUAGAUAUACCGAGGAACUCCGGUGGCGAAGGCAGUUCACUGGACUGCAACUGACACUGAGGCUCGAAAGUGUGGGUAUCAAACAGGAUUAGAUACCCGUGUAGUC